GCGUCGCUGCAGGUGCACCAGCCUCGGUCAGGAUCCAGGACAAUGAACCGCGUCCUCAGGCCAAAGGAGCGACUCCGUUUCCAGUUUCGGAAGGGGUUUCUCCAGAAUACCAAACACCAGUCGGUGCCUUUCUCCUAAAACCAGCACCUCGGGGUGGGGAGCGCGUUCAGAAGUUCACGGUUGACUCAAUUACUGGGUUAAUUUGAUGUAUGCUAACUUCUAUAGCCCCGAGUACUCGAUGUGCCUGUUUUCAAUGGCCAUUUAAAAAACAGCUGGACCUCUGUAUCAAUCUAGAGUUAGUCAUCCUUCUUGGAAGGGAGCAGAGGGGCCUCUUAAAUGUUAUUGGAAGACUCAUCACUGCAUAGAACCGCGUGGCCCUACAAUAUUUAAUUAGGCAAAGACUAAACUGGAAUUCAUCUAGGCCUCCCCCAACAGCCCAGGCACAGAUUCCGGGAACCCCCGCGGACGCCCGCCGGGCCCCUGCUCGCGCCCCCAGCCCAGGGAUCCUGGCCCCUCGGAGCGGCGGGGGGGCAGGCCCGGAGCCACAGCCUCACCUCCGGUACUCCAGGUACUCGUCCACCGCCGCCGCGCCGCCGAGAGGCAACGUCAACCGCUCCAUUGCCGGUGGGGAAGCCAAAGGCUUCCCUGCGGACCAGCUGACCUCGAAGCCCGACCCGCCCCGUUCCCUCCCGGUACCGCGCCCCCUCCCGCCCGCCUCCUGAUUGGCCCGGCCUGAAGCCCGAGGAGGCCGCGCGCGGCAACUGCGCAGGACGCGCGCCCCUACUGGCUGCCGGCGCCAGGCACCAGAACCCGGAUCUCCGCAAGCGCAGCCUCGCGCCACAUGGAGUGCAGUUUGCCGCCCUCCACAAACCUUGCACCUAUUCCCCUCUCCCUUCCCUGGACCGGCGAGUCUUCUUGUAAAUUAACAAGUGACAAGGGAGUGCAGUGCCUUGCAUAUAACAGGCGCAUAGAAAAUGGCUUAUUUCUUUGUACAGCUCUUUUCGCUUAAUCCAUCUCUUGAAAUAUAAGUAGUUUUGAGAAGGUUCUGCUUUAGUUUGAGGCCUGCCUCUCCUUAACUGUCGGCCUGUUUCCAGUAUUGGCGUUUUCAAAAACUCUGAUGUAACAAUCAGUAGUCCUGGGUAUCUGGGUUCACUUUGGGGGUUGCUAAAGCUACAUGUUCUUCAAAGGAACCGAAUAACUGAUUUAAGGUGAAGCAAGUAAAAACAAUUUAGGUGAAGUUUUGUUGUUGUUUUUUAACUUUUGGAAACACUCUGCAAAAUAUAUUUAGAAGCUGAAUUACCAUGCGAUUGGUAAUUUGGCCAUAAUUUGACUUAGCACGUUGUGGAAAAGAAUAGGAAAUCUUCAGGCGAAGUCAUUAAACUCUGAAGCUCCCAGGGGAUCAGCUUUAGCGCCCUCUGUAAAGUAUCUGGGAGGGAGAAUAUGCAAACAAUAAGAAAAAUAAUUAAACUUCAGUACAGUACUUUAGUUUCAAAGUACUGUUCUACAAUUUGUUUACAUAAUGUUUUUUGGACCUGAAAUAUGUAGAAAAGUACUUUGAAACUAAAGUACUGUACUGAAGUUUAAUAUUUUUCUUAUUGUUUGCAUAUUCUCCCUCCCAGAUAAUUUACAGAGGGCACUAAAGCUGAUCCCCUGGGAGCUUCAGAAUUUAAUGACUUCGCCUGACGAUUUCCUAUUCUUUUCCACAAUGUGCUAAGUCAAAUUAUGGCCAAAUUACCAAUCGCAUGGUAAUUCAGCUUCUAAAUAUAUUUUGCAGAGUGUUUCCAAAAGUUAAAAAAAAAAAAAAAACUUCACCUAAAUUGUUUUUACUUGCUUCACCUUAAAUCAGUUAUUCGGUUCCUUUGAAGAACAUGUUGCUUUAGCAACCCCCAAAGUGAAUCCAGAUACCCAGGACUACUGAUUGUUACAUCAGAGUUUUUGAAAACGCCAAUACUGGAAACAGGCCGACAGUUAAGGAGAGGCGGGCGGGACUGAAGCAGAGCCCGAGAACGGGGCUGGAGGUCCCAGGGUCCCGGGUUGGUGGGGGUGGAGCAGCACUUCAUCGCCGCGGGGGUGCUGGGACUCCGGCCGCAGUGCCGCCGCCAUCAUGGACUUCCUGUGGGACAAGCGCACGGGCCUGGCCGCCAGAAAGAUGCCUCAUCCUCGAAGGUACCAUUCCUCAGAGCGAGGCAGCCGGGGGAGUUACUGUGAACACUAUCGGAGCCGAAAACAAGCAACGAAGAAGCCGUUCCUGGUCAAGUAGUAGUGACCGGACACGACGGCGCCGGCGAGAGGACAGCUACCAUGUCCGGAGGAGGUGCAGCCGGACAUUUAGCCGCUCGUCUUCGCAGCACAGCAGCCGGAAAGCCAAGAGUGUAGAGGACGACACUGAGGGCCACCUCAUCUACCAUGUCGGGGACUGGCUACAAGAGCGAUAUGAAAUCGUCAGCACCUUAGGAAAGGGGACCUUCGGCCGAGUUGUACAAUGUGUUGACCAUCGCAGGCGUGGGGCUCGAGUUGCCCUGAAGAUCAUUAAGAAUGUGGAGAAGUAUAAGGAAGCAGCUCGACUUGAGAUCAAAGUGCUGGAGAAAAUCAACGAGAAAGACCCUGGCAAGAACCUCUGUGUCCAGAUGUUUGACUGGUUCGACUACCAUGGCCACAUGUGUAUCUCCUUGGAGCUUCUGGGCCUUAGCACCUUCGAUUUCCUCAAAGACAACAACCACCUGCCCUACCCCAUCCACCAAGUGCACCACAUGGCCUCCCAGCUGUGCCAGGCUGUCAAGUUCCUCCAUGAUAACAAGCUGACACAUACAGACCUCAAGCCUGAAAAUAUUCUGUUUGUGAAUUCAGACUAUGAGCUCACCUACAACCUAGAGAAGAAGCGACAUGAGCGCAGUGUGAAGAGCACAGCUGUGCGGGUGGGAGACUUUGGCAGUGCCACCUUUGACCAUGAGCACCAUAGCACCAUUGUCUCCACUCGCCAUUACCGAGCACCAGAAGUCAUCCUUGAGUUGGGUUGGUCACAGCCUUGUGAUGUGUGGAGUAUAGGCUGCAUCAUCUUUGAGUACUAUGUGGGCUUCACCCUCUUCCAGACCCAUGACAACAGACAGCAUCUAGCCACGAUGGAAAGGAUCUUGGGUCCUAUCCCUUCCCGGAUGAUCCGAAAGACAAGAAAACAGAAAUAUUUUUACCGGGGUCGCCUGGAUUGGGAUGAGAACACAUCAGCUGGACGCUAUGUUCGUGAGAACUGCAAACCGCUGCGGCAGUAUCUGACCUCAGAGGCAGAGGAAGACCACCAGCUCUUCGAUCUGAUUGAAAGCAUGCUAGAGUAUGAACCAGCUCAGCGGCUGACCUUGGGUGAAGCCCUUCAGCAUCCUUUCUUCUCCCGCCUUUGGGCUGAGCCACCCAACAAGUUGUGGGACUCCAGUCAGGAUAUCAGUCCGUGACCACCAGGCCCUGGGCCUCCCUGCAUCUUUUAUAGCAGUGAGUGUCCAGUCCAGGACAUUGGUGCUUUUUUAUAAAAGAGAACAGAGCCAGAGUUCACUCCUUCCUGCUGCUUCUCUAUAUACCUGUGAAUAUGUGAAACAGUAAAUAUGAAAGAACUUGUACCUAUCACUUCAACCCCUGCGUUGUACAUAAUGCUAUUCCAUCUACACACUUUCCACCCUCACCUGCCCCCUCAUACAGAGUUGGAUGGGGGCCGAGUGAGGUAACCAGGUGGCAUCUACCCCAUGUUUUAUAAGGAAUUUUGUACAGUCUUUGUGAAAUGAAAUAACAUGCUUCAUUUGACCCGCCCCCCAAAAAAUUAGUUGGGCGUAGUGGUGCACACCUGUGGUUCCAGCUCCUCAGGAAGCUUACACAAAAAGAUUGCUUGAGCCUGGGAGGCAGAGGUUACAGUGAGCCAAGAUUAUGCCACUGCACACUAGCCUGGGUGAUAGAGCGAGACCCUGUCUCAAAAAUUUAAAAAAAAAAAAAAAAAAAGUGAAGUGAGCCUCCCUAAAGGGCACCAUUGUUGGGAAGGCCUAAAUCUGGAAGUGCCUUCCACUGAUCCUUCAGUGAGGAGUGCCUGACCCUUCAUGGAAGUUCUCUUUUUCCACAUAAUAAUAGUCCAAAAGGUUUCAUAUGGAGGAGUCUUGACAGGUCAGGGGAGGGAGAGGCCCAACCUGCCUCUUAGGGUUUGGUAGGGUUUGGGAAUGUGAGAGAGGCCUGUUAACCAUGAGAAAAACUCCUAAUCCAAAGUAAAAUAAAGAAAAGAGUUUGGGCCAAGACAAACAUUUUAAUUCUCUAUGCCUUGUGCUGGGAACUCAUCUUGCCCCAAUUCAAAUGUAAGCCUUCCUUAUAGAAAGUAAUUUUUUUUUUUUGAGACAGAGUUUUGCUCUUGUUGCCCAGGCUGGAGUGCAAUGGCAUGAUCUCGGCUCACCGCAACCUCCACCUCCCAGGUUCAAGUGAUUCUCCUGCCUCAGCCUCCCAAGUAGGUGGGAUUACAGGCAUGCACCACCACUCCCAGCUAAUUUUGUAUUUUCAGUAGAGACGGGGUUUCUCCAUGUUGGUCAGGCUCGCCUCGGACGCCCGACCUCAGGUGAUCUGCCCUGCCUCAACCUCCCAAAGUGCUAGAAUUACAGGCAUGAGCCACCACACCUGGCCUAGAAAGUAAAUCUUAAUCUUUAAAACUCCCAGAUAUAAAGGGCAAAAAGGCAAAGGUGAACAUUCAAGUAAGAUCAUAAUGACUAUUAUUUUUCCUAGCAGACUCAAUGUCAUGCUCACACACAUUCAGUGAGAUGGAUUUUAACCAAACAGAAGGCACAAAUAUGUAUCUUUUCUCACUAAUUUGCCUGACGGCAAAAAUUACCUACGUUGUGUUCAUUAUUAUAAAAUUCAAAAUAAUUACCCCAUGUAAAGUAAAUGAAAUGAUGAAUGCUAUUUUAUUUAAAACUCAUUACUAUAACUUUUUUCCAUAUAAGGAGCUAGGUUUAGAAAUUAAAGUCUCCGAAUAGGCCGGGCAUGGUGGCUCAUGCCUGUAAUUCCAACACUUUGGGAGACUGGGGCAGAAGGAUGGCUUUUGGCCAGGAGUUCAAGGCUGCAGUGAGCUAUCAUAGUGCCAUAACACACCAGCCUGGGCAACAGAAUGAGACCCUGUCUCUUAAA
rnacentral:lncRNA from 1 species